AAUUUCAAGAUUCCUGAUGAACCAAAAUUUAGUUUUAUGGGAAGCACAGGAGUUACUCUACGUAUAAUCUCAGCCUUGCAAGCCAAACAGAUGAUGAUAAAGGGAUGAGAGGGUACUUAGCUAUAGUGAUUCAUACUCGACAGGAGGAAUCAAGACUAAAAGAUGUCCCUAUAGUGAAUAAAUUUUCAGAUGUAUUUCCUAAGGAUCUUUCGAGAUUGCCACC
rnacentral:lncRNA from 1 species